rnacentral:tRNA from 1 species
ACCUCCUUAGCUCAGUGGAUCAGAGCGCUGGCUUACGAAGCCAGAGGUCGCACGUUCAAGUCGUGCAGGAGGUGCCA